UACGUAGGGGGCAAGCGUUGUCCGGAAUUAUUGGGCGUAAAGAGCUCGUAGGCGGUCUGUCGCGUCGGCUGUGAAAACUCGGGGCUCAACCCCGAGCCUGCAGUCGAUACGGGCAGACCAGAGUGCUGUAGGGGAGACUGGAAUUCCUGGUGUAGCGGUGAAAUGCGCAGAUAUCAGGAGGAACACCGGUGGCGAAGGCGGGUCUCUGGGCAGUAACUGACGCUGAGGAGCGAAAGCGUGGGGAGCGAACAGG
rnacentral:rRNA from 1 species